UCUGCACAUGGUAAGUACUCAAUAGAUGCGUACGUACAGGACCUUUUUUUGGCCAAAGGGACAACGGUGCCCUGGCCAGACAGGUGGUAACCACCACGGUCACCCACGCUACCCAGCUACUCCCGCCGGGUCGUUCCGCCGCCCGAGAAGCCGGAAUUAGAAGCCCCCCGCUUCCUGACGCGCUGUCUCUGCUGGACCAAUACCCAAAGGAAGCCUCAGUUUCCCCCGGCAUCAUCCGGACCCUGAAGUCCCAGCGGGCUUGAAGUUCACCCGCGUGCUCUGCUAAUCCAACCAUCGGAGUCGGUCUCGUCCAGUAGCCGGCCUCUCGUCGAGCACCUGAAUGAUGAAGCUAGGAAGUCUGCGGGUGGGCCAGGAGAGAACUCCGUUUUGAUUGAUUCCCAGUCAUCACCGGGGCAGAUGGUGCACUUAAAGGCGACUGAGUCAGAGAGAGAGAGAACUCCGGGGAGCUGCUGGGAUCCUUGGAAUGAACCACCCUGGUGUUGGGAGAGAAGACGAGAACCUUGGCGAGCAGCGUGGGGCCGGAGGGUUGGCCUAUGCACCGGAAGCCAACCACCUCUCCCGUGAGAAGAGCCAUCGCUUUGAUUUGCAUUUCCAAAAGAGAACAAGAUUUGGCGUUAUUACCCAGCAUUUAUCUACAAUGGGUGAGGGGCUGCGUGAAGAAGAAUUGGUUGGCUUCCCUCCUCACCAAGACCCUGUGAUCUAGGGCAGGAAACAAAGGCAGAGGUAAUCAUCAACAAAAACAUCGAAAAAGAGAAUCCUGAUGGGAGAAGAUGCUGCUUAGGAGAAUCGCUCCUGCGAUUUGGAUAACAAGAAAUCUACAACCGUGAAGCAGCGUGGUCGAGGCUGAGGAUCUGGGUUCUCUGCCGUGAG